GGUCCCGCGUGUCCCCCCCGGCCGCUGUUCGGGCCCGUGCCCCCCCCGGCUCUUUCCCUUCUCGGCCCAGCCGCCGUUUCGGGGGCGAGCCCGGAGCGAGCAGGGCCAGCGGGGCCGCUGUGACACAUCAGAGCUCCCAGCAGUGACACUCGGGCUGCCCUUUCACCUCUUCCUUUCCUUUCCCAGAAGCAGGCUUGAAUUUUGUGUUGGAGUCACUGUUAAACCCAGCUCCAUGUGCUUCGUCAGUGCUGAUUUUGGAAUGGAUCCUUUCCUCCUGUGGAGAAUCAGGGGAUCACCUCCAGCAGCCUCUGUGCACUUCCUGGCUCCUCAGAGUGAUCCCACCUCUUCCAAAUCCAGCCUAGGGUUGAAUGUGUACAGUCAGCUUUUAAAUUCCUUUCCAUAAGAAGUCAGACGAGCCUGGAUGCAGUGCAUUUCAGACAGCUCUGCAGUCUCUCCACAAACCUGCACCUGUCUGCAGGAUCUGUGCAGCUACAGCAACCUCCAGGUUUGCAGGCUGGUGAGUCACCAGCGAAGGGCUCUGGGGAUGCACUUUCCCAGGUGAGCAGCAGAACUCACUGCAGACA
rnacentral:lncRNA from 1 species